UACGUAGGGUGCGAGCGUUGUCCGGAAUUACUGGGCGUAAAGGGCGCGCAGGCGGCCCGCUAAGUCCGCUGUGAAAGACCGGGGCUCAACCCCGGGGUGUCAGCGGAGACUGGUGGGCUGGAGUGCCGGAGAGGGAUGCGGAAUACCUGGUGUAGCGGUGGAAUGCGCAGAUAUCAGGAGGAACACCAAUAGCGAAGGCAGCUCGCUGGGACGUUACUGACACUGAGGCGCGAAAGCGUGGGGAGCGAACAGG
rnacentral:rRNA from 1 species